UCUUCUUCCUCCUCCUCUUUCCCCACCUCCUCCCCUGUCAGCCACCGCCUCCUCCUCCACCAGCAACACUCCCUCCGGGGCACCCUGGUCCCUGCAGAGUCCCCGGCCGGCUCAGCCUCCGCUGCGUCCCCCCUGGAUCCCCAGCCUGCUGAGCCCGAGCUGGUAGUACGGAUGGACGGACGGACGGACGGACGGACAGCCAAGCACGCAGACUGCUCGCCCCCAGCGCUCCGGAUGCUGCUGCUGCUGCCGCUGCGCCCCGCGGCCCCACGUCAGGGAAGUUGGGCUCGCCCCGGGAGCACCGCGAGGUCAGUUCUAGCUGGAGUCCUGCCGUUCGGGCAGCUUCUGGCCACCGGAGAAUCCAGAGACUCGACAUCACCACGUCCAGUUGAUGUCAUCCCAGAUCGCCGCAAAGAAAUGUGUCAGCCAGCCCACAUGACCUGGCUGGGAGUCGCUGCACCGUUGCCCCAGACCUUUGGAAAUUGCAGACACGCUCAGGGAUCCACAGAGCAAUCUCGGCCAGGCCUGGAGUCCCAGGGUCCCUGGACUGGGCUCCCUCACUCCUGCUGGGGUGCCGGUGCCAGGCCGCUCUCACCGCUGCUGGCCACGGCAGACUCCCACGGGUCAGGAUUGACACGGAGGCUAUAUAGGGGCUGGAACAGGACAACUUCCGGGGUGCACUGGGUGUCUGCGGACCAGAGACGUGGUUGGGCACAGGAGCCUCCCAGUGACUGUGAAAGCAGGUUCGGGUGGCAGGAGGUCCGGUAUCACAGAUGAAACACUGGAUGUGCCCCUUGGGGUUCCACCUCCACGGGCAGCCGUGGCCUGGGCACGAGGCACUCCCGACGGCUGGCUGCAGGGGCACAGGACUGCCAGCCUGCAAAGGACAUGGAGUGAGUGCUUCCGUGGCAGGAACCACACCUCUGGAGAGGCCUCUCCACUCUUCCGUGGUUUCCCGCGAGCAGUAUCUCCUUCAAGCCCGAUUCAGGAGGAAGACAGAGCAGAGAGAAUGAAGGCCAAGACAGAUAAUAUGACAAGUCUGAGGUCGACCAGCAAGACGGGGGCAGAGAGGCCAGGGCUGGAGCCCAGUUCCUCCCGCUGGGCCCCCCAGACACUUGGCACCCCCACGGAAGGAGUGCCACCACAUCCUGGACAUCACAGAUUCGUAUAUUUAUUUCAUUUCUCUGGAUUGCAAUAAAGCGUCUAUUCUAAUAAAAUCGGUAUAUUAAAACACCUUCCCAACAGACAGGGCUCACAUGUCUUGGCCAAGAGGCCCCUCGUUUUGGUCUGCACAGAGGUUCUGCGUGGCGGGCAGCAACCCCGACGGCAGCCACUCAUCCCGGGGAGGCUUGCGCUUUCCUGGGCAGAAGCAGGGAGGAAGAAGGUCCUGCUGGAUCCCCGCACAGCCAGCUGUCCCAGUGGCAGAAGGAGCUGGGGAAGGGAGCUCGAGGGGUGGAGGUACCUACAAAUCAGUAAGACAGAAAAAGGCCUAGGGGGGAAAUGGGCAAAGGACGUGAUUCAUUAUCACGGAAGGAGAGAAGGCAGGGAAUGUGUGAAGGUUGGAUGUGGACAUUUGUCACUGUGUGGCCUGCACAGCAGCCCGAUGCCCGCUGCAGCCUCCUGAGCACUCACCCGAGACGUGCCAGGUUCUGGGCUGAGCGCCGUGUGGGAACGACCCCAUUGUUGCUAUCGCCCCGGGAGGCAGGAGCUCCUACCUCUUCUAGCAGGUGGGGAAGCAGGUGAGUCCGGCCCCUGGGCAUGGUUUGUUUUCUAAUUUGAAUUUUUCCAGAUGGGGCAAGGACUGUCCAGUUGUCACAGAUUCCAUCAUCCUCUGUUACAACCACGCUCACUCACAAACAUAGGACCUUUUCUUUUUUUAGCGGUUUCACUGAGCUGUAAUUCCCAUUCCAUACAAUUCAUCGUGCAAUUCAGUGGUUCCCUCUAUGUUCACAGUCUUGGCCACAUGAAUUUUAGACCAUUGUCAUCACCUCAUAAAGGAAGCCUGUGGCCCUUUAACUCGCACCUC